rnacentral:rRNA from 1 species
UAGUUUAGUGGCGGACGGGUGAGUAACACGUGAGCAACCUGCCUUCGAGAGGGGAAUAACGGCUGGAAACGGUCGCUAAUACCGCAUAAUGUACGGAUGGGACAUCCUGUCAGUACCAAAGAUUUAUCGCUCGAAGAUGGGCUCGCGUCCGAUUAGGUAGUUGGUGGGGUAACGGCCCACCAAGCCGACGAUCGGUAGCCGGACUGAGAGGUUGAACGGCCACAUUGGGACUGAGACACGGCCCAGACUCCUACGGAAGGCAGCAG